rnacentral:rRNA from 1 species
AAACCAGCACCUCAAGUGGUCAGGAGGAUUAUUGGGCCUAAAGCAUCCGUAGCCUGUUCUAUAAGUUUCCGGUUAAAUCCAUUAGCUUAACUAAUGGGCUGCCGAAAAUACUGUAGAACUAGGGAGUGGGAGAGGUAGACGGUAUUCGGUAGGAAGGGGUAAAAUCCUUUGAUCUAUUGAGGACCACCUGUGGCGAAGGCGGUCUACCAGAACACGUUCGACGGUGAGGGAUGAAAGCUGGGGGAGCAAACCGGAUUAGAAACCCCGGUAGUCC